rnacentral:rRNA from 1 species
UGGGGAAUAUUGCACAAUGGGGGAAACCCUGAUGCAGCGACGCCGCGUGAGCGAUGAAGUAUUUCGGUAUGUAAAGCUCUAUCAGCAGGGAAGAAAAUGACGGUACCUGACUAAGAAGCCCCGGCUAACUACGUGCCAGCAGCCGCGGUAAUACGUAGGGGGCAAGCGUUAUCCGGAUUUACUGGGUGUAAAGGGAGCGUAGACGGCGGUGCAAGCCAGAUGUGAAAGCCCGGGGCUCAACCCCGGGACUGCAUUUGGAACUGUGCUGCUAGAGUGUCGGAGAGGCAGGCGGAAUUCCUAGUGUAGCGGUGAAAUGCGUAGAUAUUAGGAGGAACACCAGUGGCGAAGGCGGCCUGCUGGACGAUGACUGACGUUGAGGCUCGAAAGCGUGGGGAGCAAACAGG